GUUAUACGCAAAAAUCACCAUGAAGACCCGGCCCAUAAAAGAAGACUAUGAUAGGCUCAAGAUUGGACCAAGUCCAAACCAGCUAUGUCAAUAAGAAGAACCCACUUCAAGAAGAUGGGGCGCGCCUUAUCUUCAGGUUACAGAGAAAGAUCGUUAUUUGAAGGGCAGGAGGAGACAUAUUUUACCUAGGGGGACGCCCUUAGGUGUAUAUGAGCUCUACUGUUAACUUGUCGAAGACUCUACCUUGUAGUCUGAGGAGUUAUCCUCCUUGGGAGAUAGAGAAUGAAGAUUAGAGGAGGCCUUGCUCUGUAGUCUGGCGAGUUGUCCUUGUCGGGGAGCUUGUGAAAUCUUCUCGAAGAUACGCCCUGGAAGGCUCUAUCUCUGUAGUCUGGCGGGUUGUCCCUGUCGGGGAGUAGAGAAGCGUCCUUGCAUUUGGGGUAAGUCUUGGGUGCUCGAGAGUCUACAAGGCCCAAGUCUAGGCCUCAUCGUAUUGGG
rnacentral:lncRNA from 1 species